UGGGAUAUAGCUCAGUUGUAGAGUACUUGCCUAACAUUGCAGAGUCCUGGGUUCAAUCCCUAGUACCACAA
rnacentral:tRNA from 1 species